AGUUUGAAGAAGCAGCAGAGCUGCUGUCAGCUGACCUCGGGGGGUCCACACUCAGCAUUUCUGCAGACACCCCCAGCAGCACAGCUGCAGGGGAGGACGUGAAGCUGGACAUGUCUGAAGAUGAGGAGGGUCAAGAGGAGAGUUCAGAGCUCUUAGGAGAACAGAAAGCAAGUGGUGGCUUCUGGACCUUCAAGUACUACCAGUCUUUCUUUGAUGUGGACACGCUGCAGGUCCUGCACAGAGUCAAGGGCUCAGUGAUGCCAUUACCUGGAAGAAACUUCAUUAAACACUACCUGCGGAAUAACCC